rnacentral:rRNA from 1 species
AAACGUAGGAGGCAAGCGUUAUCCGGAGUUACUGGGCGUAAAGCGUGCGCAGGCGGACGUGUAAGUGAGUUGUGAAAGCCUCCGGCUAAACUGGGGGAGGACAAUUCAGACUGCAGGUCUAGAGUCAGAUAGAGGGACGUGGAAUUCCGGGUGUAGCGGUGAAAUGUGUAGAGAUCCGGAGGAACACCAGUGGCGCAAGCGGCGUCCCGGGUCUGAACUGACGCUGAGGCACGAAAGCGUGGGGAGC